AGAGUUUGAUCCUGGCUCAGGAUGAACGCUGGCGGCGUGCUUAACACAUGCAAGUCGAACGGACUUGUUAUGAAGCCUAGCGAAUAACAAGUUAGUGGCGGACGGGUGAGUAACGCGUGGGUAACCUGCCUUAUACAGGGGGAUAACACUUAGAAAUAGGUGCUAAUACCGCAUAAGCGCACAGUUUCGCAUGAAACAGUGUGAAAAACUCCGGUGGUAUAAGAUGGACCCGCGUCUGAUUAGCUAGUUGGUGAGGUAACGGCUCACCAAGGCGACGAUCAGUAGCCGGCCUGAGAGGGUGAACGGCCACAUUGGGACUGAGACACGGCCCAAACUCCUACGGGAGGCAGCAGUGGGGAAUAUUGCACAAUGGGGGAAACCCUGAUGCAGCGACGCCGCGUGAGUGAAGAAGUAUUUCGGUAUGUAAAGCUCUAUCAGCAAGGAAGAAAAUGACGGUACUUGACUAAGAAGCCCCGGCUAACUACGUGCCAGCAGCCGCGGU
rnacentral:rRNA from 1 species